GCCUUCGCGACGCUUUUGCGACACCGUCGGCGCUGGGCUUCCCAGCGCCCCCGGCGGUAGCAGGAGGAGCGUGCCGUUAGGCGCCGUGGGCUUCGGGGAACCGCAAGCUGCGAUUGCUGGCUUUUCUGCGCACACGGUCGGGAGCUGAGGUCCGCGGGGAGGGGAGGACAGGAACUAGCAGGGCUGGGUGAUGGCGCAGCCGAUGUGACCGGAGAGCGCAGGAGCCGUCUCGGGCCUCGGCCUGAAACCCUCCGAGGCCCGUGGCCUGCAGAAGGGCCCCCUCCGAGGACAAAUGACUGAAUUUUGGAAGGUGAGAAAUCACCUUCAUUCCCCACCAGAAAAACAUUAAACCAAUGCUGUGGACUCCCGCAGUGAUUUACUUCUGAGAGAAACCUUCAAAUAUGAGCACAAGGCCCGUGUAUUCUGGCUGUGGGAGAAACAGAACCAAGAAGUGGUCACUAGCUUGAAGUUCACGAAGGACAGCACCCCAGACUUGCAAGAGAGAGACAGCGAGAGAGGAAACACAAGCAGGGGG